rnacentral:rRNA from 1 species
AAUCAACGCUGGCGGCGCGCCUAACACAUGCAAGUCGAACGGGAAAGUGGGCAACCAUGAGUACAGUGGCGUACGGGUGAGUAACACGUGGGUGAUCUACCUCUUAGUGGGGAAUAACUUUGGGAAACCGAAGCUAAUACCGCAUAAGCCUGAGAAGGGAAAGCAGCAAUGCGCUGAGAGAGGAGCCCGCGGCCGAUUAGCUAGUUGGCAGGGUAAAAGCCUACCAAGGCAGAGAUCAGUAGCCGGCCUGAGAGGGCACACGGCCACACUGGCACUGAAACACGGGCCAGACUCCUACGGGAGGCAGCAGUGGGGAAUCUUGCACAAUGGGGGAAACCCUGAUGCAGCGACGCCGCGUGAGCGAUGAAGCCCUUC